rnacentral:rRNA from 1 species
UACGGAGGGAGCUAGCGUUAUUCGGAAUUACUGGGCGUAAAGCGCACGUAGGCGGCUUUGUAAGUUAGAGGUGAAAGCCUGGAGCUCAACUCCAGAAUUGCCUUUAAGACUGCAUCGCUUGAAUCCAGGAGAGGUGAGUGGAAUUCCGAGUGUAGAGGUGAAAUUCGUAGAUAUUCGGAAGAACACCAGUGGCGAAGGCGACUUACUGGACACAUAUUGACGCUGAGGUGCGAAAGCGUGGGGAGCAAACAGG